UAUUCUUCCUAUGCGGGAAGGAUGAGAAGCUUCGACUAAGGUUCGAUUCGAGCGUUAGCGAGAAAGCGUUGCCGCAGGCAACGACCCGAAGGGCGAAGCGCGCAGCGCUGAGUAAUCAUUCCCCCACCACCA
rnacentral:sRNA from 1 species